rnacentral:lncRNA from 1 species
UCAGACUCAUCACUCAUUAUCUUCAACCACAUGAGAAACCCAGAGCGAGAACCACCCAGCCAAGGCCAAUCUCUAGAACUUCAAAAGCUUUCGGAUCAUCAACUGACAUAGGGGAAGAAGACUUCCAUAGGAUGCUCAACCACCACCCAAGAUCAUGAAUAGAUGGAAA